rnacentral:lncRNA from 1 species
UUUGGUUGUUGUGCAGGUGGUGGUGUUUGAGGUUGUUCAGAUGUAGUUGGAUUUGGAUGUUCAGGGGGUGGGGAAGUGAUAUUUGGUUUAGGUUUAGUGUGUGAUGGUUGUUGAGAGGCCAGAGCACGAGCUUGUAGCUGAGACAGAGUGGGAGAUUGGGGGUCAGAUGGUUCAUUGUCAUAGGAGAGUACAUAGUAUGGUGGGGAUUGAGGUGAGGAUGAUGAUGAUGGUGAGGUAGUUUCAUUCAGAAUUUCUGUUUUAG